rnacentral:rRNA from 1 species
UGGCGACCGGCGCACGGGUGAGUAACACGUAUCCAACCUGCCGAUAACUCGGGGAUAGCCUUUCGAAAGAAAGAUUAAUACCCGAUAGUAUAAUCAGACCGCAUGGUUUGAUUAUUAAAGAAUUUCGGUUAUCGAUGGGGAUGCGUUCCAUUAGGCAGUUGGUGAGGUAACGGCUCACCAAACCUUCGAUGGAUAGGGGUUCUGAGAGGAAGGUCCCCCACAUUGGAACUGAGACACGGUCCAA